AUGGAAGGACUAGCAAUAACACCAGAAAAACACAGUCGUCAACACCAAAGAGCAGGAUAUUUCGAAGAAAACUCUUUCUGGAUAAAUGACUGUUCAGACACCAGAAGGGCAGUUGAUCUCACCAUCUCUUCAGCUCUUUUUCAGGCUGUGGAAAGGCCGGUGCUGUACGUCGCUGUGAGCGUCCUUGGAGUGGGGACAGGCAGUGGACACCUUUCUUCCCCUCGUUCUCCUUCGCUCAGCAGCACCCAAUGUUUCAGCAGGUGGGAGAAGCCACCACUCAGAAAGCAACCCUGCACCCUUGAUAAACCUGUUCUCUCAGCAACUGGGGUUAUUGCCAGGUACAGUAUGACCUGAUUUUUUGGGACUUGUUCAUGGGACAACUGGUAGCAUCAACUGCUGGAUGUGUGGAAUUGUGUGACUUUGCCCUCUCUGCCUGUGUUUGCUGAUUAGCACUGUGCAAACACUCUGUGUGUAGUGCCAUGGAGCGCUUUUCUCUCCCAGGGGUGGUAUGUGUUUGCCACAGGGACCUCCUUUUCCAAUUUUGGAUUCUGAUUAUCCCCAGAGGCAUUAGCAAAAGAGGAGAUAAAAAAGAUCUACCUAUGGACCCAAGGAGAAAGUAGAUUCCGGUAAGAAACCUUGGGCUUGUGAAAUUUGUGCCUGCGUGUUUCUUGUAUUCAGUGCAAGAGUUUUUUAAGUAGUGAUGUUAGUAACAUUCCUCAG
rnacentral:lncRNA from 1 species